rnacentral:rRNA from 1 species
GAUGAACGCUGGCGGCGUGCCUAAUACAUGCAAGUCGAGCGAACGGACGAGAAGCUUGCUUCUCUGAUGUUAGCGGCGGACGGGUGAGUAACACGUGGAUAACCUACCUAUAAGACUGGGAUAACUUCGGGAAACCGUAGCUAAUACCGGAUAAUAUUUUGAACCGCAUGGUUCAAAAGUGAAAGACGGUCUUGCUGUCACUUAUAGAUGGAUCCGCGCUGCAUUAGCUAGUUGGUAAGGUAACGGCUUACCAAGGCAACGAUGCAUAGCCGACCUGAGAGGGUGAUCGGCCACCCUGGAACGUAGACACGGUCCAGACUCCUACGGGAGGCAGCAGUAGGGAAUCUUCCGCAAUGGGCGAAAGCCUGACGGAGCAACGCCGCGUGAGUGAUGAAGGUCUUCGGAUCGUAAAACUCUGUUAUUAGGGAAGAACAUAUGUGUAAGUAACUGUGCACAUCUUGACGGUACCUAAUCAGAAAGCCACGGCUAACUACGUG